rnacentral:SRP_RNA from 1 species
AUCAGGAGUGGUGAUGCAUGCCUGUAAUCCCAGCACUUGGGAGGCUGAGGCAGGAGAAUUGUUGUAAGUUCGAGACCAGCCUGAACUGCAUAGGAAGACCCUGUCUCAAAAAGACCAAAAAAGUAACAAUUUUUUUUUUCAUCUAGUUGCACAUUAGCAUCUUGUUCCCCUAACAGCAGUUGUAAUUUGGGACAAUGCCAACGUUGAUCACAUUGUAAAGUGACAGCACUUGUGUUCCUUAAAAUGUAAGAAACUACCGGGAGCGGGGGACCACCAGGUUGCCUAAGAAGGGGUGAACAGGCCCAGGUCGGAAACGGAGCAGGUCAAAACUCCCGUGCUGAUCAGUAGUGGGAUCGCGCCUGUGAAUAGCCACUGCACUCCAGCCUGGGCAAUAUAGUGAGACCCUGUCUCUU